rnacentral:rRNA from 1 species
GAGGAAAGAUGGAGGCGUGCUUAACACAUGCAAGUGGAGCGACGAACCAGGGCUUGCCCUGGGGCAGAGCCGCGAACGGGUGAGUAACACGUGGGUAACGUGCCCCGAUGACUGGGACAACCCGGGGAAACCCGGGCUAAUACCGGAUGUGCCCCCUCACAUCAGUGAGGUGUGUAAAGGAAGCUUCGGCCUCCGCAUCGGGAUCGGCCCGCGGCCCAUUAGCUUGUUGGUGAGGUAACGGCUCACCAAGGCUGCGAUGGGUAGCUGGUCUGAGAGGACGAUCAGCCACACUGGGACUGAGACACGGCCCAGACUCCUACGGGAGGCAGCAGUGGGGAAUCUUGCGCAAUGCGCGAAAGCGUGACGCAGCAACGCCGCGUGGGGGAAGACGGCCUUCGGGUUGUAAACCCCUUUCAGUUGGGACGAAGGUCGGGCGGUUAACAGCCGUUCCGGCUGACGGUACCUUCACAAGAAGCCCCGGCUAACUACGUG